rnacentral:pre_miRNA from 1 species
ACGUGCAUUCUUGGGUAAAUAAUAACAUUACAUGAAACUGUUAUUGCUUGAGAAUACACGUAG